GGUAGUUUUUUUUUGUAUCUAGGCUAAAUUAGUUGCCUCUUUGAAGUAAAAGGAGAUCAACUGCUCAUUUAAGUUCUUGAAGUUGUGAUAUUUUUGUUCAAGUAUGAAUACUAAGGCAAACAUAGAAACAAAAAACCUUAUUCCAAGGCCUUUUGACCUUCCAGUGCACAUAUCCCAGCUGAAUAAAAAGAGUUAUGCAACCUCAUGCACUUUCUUGCAACACCCUUGUUGCAGCUAUAGUAACUGCUUAUGUCAAAAAGUAAUAUUAGAAAGUAUUUAAUGUAUUUUUAGAUUCUGUCUAAUGCAACUUAUCUGAUAAAGAAGAGCCAGUGCUGUGAGACCAGCUCUCUACAGACAUUGGGAAGCGUGGCGCAAACAACAUUUUGAGAACAGCAGAUCUCAUUUUGAGGCCAUGUGUGAAGCUGGAAAUUUCCAAGCAAUGCAAAUUAUUGUCUAACAGCUGUUGUGGUAUUUUCUGAGAAACAGGACUACUGGAUUUGACUGCCCUCACAGUGUGCUGAUACUUUCAAACUGCUCAGGUCCUCAUGUUCAUUGUGGUUCAGGAUGGCCAGUAUUUGUUGGAAGAGAAAAAAGGAAAGUAGUAACUACUCAGAACAAGAAUUCACUUGCAUUGAAUAAAUAUGGGAGUUGCUACACUGCUGCAAAGGCAAACCAGUGCCAGGAGAACAGGAAGGUUCCAGCAGAGCCAUGGAGUUCAUGGGACAAGCAGGAGGAGUGUGUGUGCCCUUCCAUGGCAUUUGGUGGUGGGGUUUGCCUGUGACGGUAAGAACGAUUGAUUCCCCGUUUGCCAUCACUGCUGACUCAAUAAAUGACAUGAUCAAGAUGA